rnacentral:misc_RNA from 1 species
AUCUUCUCCUAGCAAUACCGAUAAGCACGACAAUAAUGAUCGGAAAAUAAAAGUAAGGGGUGAUCGUUCCCAUAUUGCUGCAGAUAUUAAUGCAGAGGCGCGACAGAACAGUGCUAGUAAAGUCCUGGCCGGGUGUGAUGAAAUUGAUCAAUCUACAACAGCUAAUCUCGAUGAUGAUCCCAGAAGUUGUGAUCAAAUGGAGAAGUCUAUGGAUGGCUCCAAAAUUAUAUGCACAUCAGGAAAUGAAAAGGGGUCCAUUCAUAUUGAUUCCAAGCCA